UAAAAUUAAGGAAAAAUAAAGAUACGAUACUGUAUGCAGAUUUAAAUCAUUUUGAGCAAGUCGUAUUUUCUUGCCACCUUGGAAGAGUCAAUUAACAUUUAUUGCUGGCCACAUGGCAGACAAUAUGCUCAAUGCUUCAUGGGCAUUAUCUCAUUUCUGUUUUAAAUUACAAAAUGAAGUCUAUGGAUGUUGAAAAUUUUGAAAGAUAUAGAAAAACACAGGAUAAAAAUUGAGAGGCUCUCGUCUCUUCUGCCUUCCCUUACCUUCUCUCUCACUGCUCUCUUUCCCUACAGCUUACCCUAGUGGUACAUGUAUGGUUGUGUGCCGGAUAUGUAUGUGUGUGUUUGUGGGUAGCUGUGUGUACAUACACACAUAACCAUACAAACAAGACCAUAGCUAUUUAUUGUAUUAAGACUUUUCCCCCCUUUUUAAUAGUGUAAUUUGGAUAUUUUCCUGCCUUCUACCAAAUACAUAAAUAUCAUGUUUCUUAAUACUCUUAAUAGUCUAUUCCAUAGUUUAGACUGUAUUUAACAACUCCCUUAUCAUUAGAUAUUUAGGCUUGUCCAGCUUUUUGCUAUCACAAACAGGGAUCUUGGUGUAUAUGUGAAUGUUGGCAGCAGGUUAGCAGAGCACCAGAAGUGGGACUACUGGUCAAACCUUUGCACAAAAAUCAUACAGCCUCUAAUAGCAUUUCCCAGAGAAGAAAAGGGCCUUGUCUGGAACACAGAUCAAGAACUCUUAACUUUUUCUGAUCCAUGCUUUACAUUGCCACUUGAUAAAUACUACAUGUCAUCUCUAAGUACCACUAAAUCUCCCAUCUGGAGAGAUGGGACACUCUCCUUUAUACCUUUGAUGACUUUACUACCCAUGAUAAAAGCAGGAGAUCCCACCUUCCAGCUGCCCCUUCUUAAACAUCUAACUCUGUGCAAGUCCCAACCCUCAUUUAAUCACUUUGCUACUUCAUUGCAUUCAUCACACCAACUUGCAGUUAUUUGUACAGUUGUUCAUCUUCCAUUAGACUGAGCCCUCUGAGGGCAGGAAAUAUUUUUCAUUCUUCUUGGAACUUCCUUUUCCUAACAUAGUGUCUGAGAUGCUCAAUAAACUUUUUUUUGAGUGAAUAAAAAAUAAAUGAGGGAGUAGAAUACCUAGAUGAAUUCAGUUAUAAAAUGGCUCCAGGUACUGAAAUUGUCCAUUUUCAUUUUUAUGUUUUUGCAAUAAGAAAGAUGAACAUGCAUCUCCCCUAGUGCUACUUUUUUCAAAACUAAAUAUUCUAAUUCCAAGGCUUUAUUUCCGUCAAAUAACUACCACUUCCAAAUUCUUCUGUUAUUUUUAUUGUUCUCCAGGAUCUCUCCAUCUCAAUCAUGUCAUACAUUGGAAACAAUUCUCUGACACUUCAUCUAUAUACAAUCAACACUUUGUUAGGCUCUUGUAGCUGCCUCAUUUUUUGUAACACAAUAGAAUACUUGCCUUAAUAAUAAAUUAUAUUUGCCUUACAGUAUGGCUUAUUAGAUACCCAAAAUGUUUUCUGCCAUGCUUUCGAAAUGUUUUGACUGCAUGACAUUCUAUGGUGUUAAAAUUCCCCAAAAUGAAUGAUUUAUACUGCAUUUGCCUUAAUUGGAAUCUAUCCUGUUUUCAUCUUUCCUACUUUGACAGUCAUCUCAAUGUAAAUCCUGUGUCAGAGGUGCUUAUCUGUCUCUUUGCUACUUUUCUUUGAAAACUAAACAUAAACACAAGAAAUUUCACAUAGUAAAACUAGUAAGAUCUGGGUUUAUAAAUAUAAAUGGUGCAUCUGUGGCGGCAGAGCUCUGUCUCCAACUUCUUGGAGAUAAACAAGUUCAUAGUUAGAAAUGCUCUAGAAGUAAACAGGAAACCUGCUACACAAAUUGUGAAAUAUAAGUAUGUUUUAUAGAAGUCCUGAAAUUGUAUUUUUCAACAAGUUAAAACAGAAAAACCUAACACUACCAUAUCCAUUAAAUAUUAAUUCUCUCUUCCUCAAAUGUUUUACUCAUAUCUAUGCCUGUCCCUUUGGAACAUUUUUCAGUCAAAUUCAUAACACUGUCUUGAUUCCAAGCCUCAGGAGAACAUUUGAAUGAAAUUUUCAAAUGCUUCAAUUUUUAUAUCAUCCAAUGUGGAAUUCACAUUUACUGAGCACCUGCAAUGAGCUAGGAUCUGUACUACAUACUUUUAAAAAUACAUUAUUUUUCCUAAGAAAGUUCUGAGGUAGAUAUAUUAUUUUACAGAUGAGGAAACAGAGGUUCAGAGAGGUUAACUGACUUCACAAAAGUCAUAGAGCUACUAGGUAACAGAGCUCAUUGAACAUGGAGCUAGGAUUCAACCCUGGAUCGCCGUGAAGCCAUUUUGUUUCCAUGACAUCAUGACAUUGGUUAUAACACCACAAUUGUUUAGAAUAUAAGGCUUGUUUAGAAUGCAAGGCUUCCUCAAUUCUCCACCCUUCCCCUCUUGACAUCUUGCUCUUCUUCCCUUCAUCUAUUGUGUUAGUCAGACAGGACUUUCAUAGUUUUGAACAAGUCAGAACCUGAAAGAAUUUGCUUCCAGAACAGGACAUUGACAGGAAAAUUAAGCAUGAUCAUGCCGAGUAAAAUAGGAAUAAGAAUUGGACCUACCUCAAGAUCUGUUGAGAAGAUUAUGAGAGAGCUGAUGGAUCUAAAAGAUUGGCGCUUGAUAGAAUUGGGAUCAUUUGUUUUGACUAGAACAAUCUCUUGCAGCUUGGAUGGAGAAACUUUACAGAGGUUUCAGCCAAACACUCAUGAAUUCUUUAAUGUGUGAAAUAAAGUAAGUUUUAUAGGCAAAUAACAAUCUGAAUCCCUAACUAGCUAUUUCAUAUAAUAUGCAUAUAACUCUGAAAAUUACAUACAUCAAAUUUCAAUUUGGCUUCAUGCAUGCUUUGUUUUAUAGAUUCAUAAAGGCAGAUUUUCUCUGAUUAUCAGACUUAUUGCAAAAUGGAGUCAACACAGAAACUUCCUGAAGUUGGCAAAGCUUGUUUUCUUUGGCUGACAGGAGUAACUGAUGUAUUAUUAUUUUUUAAGGCUCUGAGAUAAAUCUGAUUCAUGUUUGAAUCAUAAGUUUAUUAUUGAUUUUUAGUGUGGAUUUUGCAUAAGAUACUCAAUUUAGAGAAUACUCAGCUUUCUCAUAUGCAGAAUAGAAAAAAAGUAGUUACCUGAUCAGAUUUUUUGAAAGGUAAAUGCAACAGCAGUUGUAAAUGGCAUAGUCCAUUGUUAGGAAUAGACUAGGUGUUCAAUAAAUGAAUAAAAAAAAACCGUGAAGCUCUCCUGAAGCUUUAUAUUCCCUGUCUAUAAAAUGGAGACAUCACUGAUUUCCUGCUUACAUUACAAGACUGCUGUGAAGAUCAAAUGAAGAAACAGAUAAAAAUGUUUGGUAAACUGAAUUGUACAGUAUAAAUAGAAAGCGGUGACAAAAGUAAUUCAUACCAAUGCAGUUUUUUAAAAAUAUCCCAACCUGCCUACACAACUACUUCCUCUCUCUGAGAUUUAUCUCAAAAGUGGAAUUAGAUUCCUGUCUUAGCUGUAAAAAUAAAGCCACAAAGGGCAUCAUGCAUGAGAGAGUAAAUGUGAAACUCUGUGGGGGAAAAUGGAAACUUCAGAUAUUAUUAGGGCCUAGCUGCCAAUGGUGAUUCUCUCAAGAUUUUAUUGGCAGGUUGAGUGAAAGUGCCAGAGUGUGGAUGCACAAAUUGUAGUUUAAUUGGUGUGAUUUAUAGCUAAUGGUGCAUCAGAAGGAGGAACUAGGAACUGUGCCUUCUAAUUUAAGGCAUAGUACCUAAGACUGCAUCCACUAGGUAAGAAAACCUUCCUUGGCAAACUCAAAUAUUAAAUCUUCGCUGAAUUUGUCUUGUUCUUUUAUAUAAAAAUCAUGGAGCCAGGAGCUAAAAUAAUAUCUAAGUUUCCUCUUUGCCUGACGCCAUCCAUGCAAAAUGUGACUUGCUUCUUCAGCAGCAGCAUGAAAACAAACUAAUACACCACUAUUCCUAGGUAAGUAGAGCCACAAUGGGAAGACCACUAAGGGAAUAUGGAGGCUCACAGAGGCUAGUCAAUUUAUCCAAGGCCACGCAGCAAAGCUGGGACUCAAACUCAAAUCUUCUAGUCCUAGUUUCAUUCAGUUUUUUUUUUUUCCUACAUUGAUUCUAGACUUUGUUCUACAAGUGACUACUUUUCUGUUUUGUUCCUGACAUGAACAUGUCCAUGGCUGUCUCAGACUUGUUUGGUUACCCUAAGUAACCAUUUAGCAGCCAAUUUCUGAUAUGACUAUAGAUACAUCUCUAUAAGUGAAUUCUAUAGGUGAUUUGGCAUGAUCAAAAUGAAAAGGCUUUGUUUGAGUUCCCCAAUAUACUGCUCAAAUGAAAGCUUCUCAAAAUAUCAUUUUGAGAUACGACAGGUCUUUCCUUCAAAUACAACAGAUACUUUUCUUUUGCAGCACUCAGCAUACAUACAACUAUUUAUUUAUCUGUAAGUACUUGCUUAGUAUCUGUGAAGAACAUUGCAGGUACCUGACAUAUGUCUAACUGAUGGAGUGAGGCUGCUAAUGUGGCCAUCUCUCCCUCUUCCUGAUAAGAAAGUGAACCAGCCAUUUCAAAAUGUGGAGAAUUCGAUAAAUAUGUUCUACUCCUCUAUAGCCCUCCCACUAAAAUAAUUUUCAAUUUUCAAUUGAGGUGAAAGGAAGAAUCGGCAAAGAGACGGAUUGAGAGAAUUGUUUAUACUCAUAACUUCGUUCUCAACAUAAUUAUCUAUUUCUGAAUCCUAAAAAUCACCUAGCUAGAUUCUCCCUCAAUCUGAAGAUUACCUUUUACUCCUUGAGAUGCUAAAUGUGUUCCUAUUUAUCAUAUUAAUAUUGCGAGUAUUUUGUGUUAUGCAGCCAGAAAAAUCACAUAAUGGGAACUUACCCACAGCCCCCAAACUCAUAAACAGGAGCUGAAUAGAAAUUCCUCAGUGCAAUUUAUGGUAACAAUUUCAUGCUCAGUUUAGUUACUUCCAUGACUCAGAAAAGAAAUUUCUUUUGCUUAUUUCAGUAAUUUUUUUCUAAAAAAUUGUUCCCCUAAUUUUUGGCAAAGGAUCUAUGAGAAAGUGAAGAACUCCCUGGUUGUACAUGGAUUUGGAAUUGUCACUUAAGUGAGGCCAAAAUGUAACCCUAUGCCAUUCAUUGCAUAGUACCAUUUGUUAUAAAUUUGACCUCUAAAACAAAGAUAUUACAAAGCCAUUGAGUGUUUUUUUAAGGGAUAUAUUAUAUUUGUCACUUAGUCCCCAGUAUUAUGAUGGAAAACCUGGAUAGUGGAUAGAAAACCUGGAGGUCAUUUAGGCAUCUCUUUCACUGGUUGGGUGAGAAAUGGUGAAGAAGAUGGGAAUGGAGAAGGGACAUACAUUUGGUAAGUGUAAAUAAGAGUCUUUGCUGAUUAAUUCAGUGUGGCCCAUGAGAAAGAGUGGAAGUGUCCAAGGUUCCCUCAGGUUUACAGCUUGGGCAACUGACUGAGAACAGAAAGGAGCUGCCAUUGAGAGGAAGAAAAGAAAAUGACACUGAGUCCAUGUUGGGACACAUUGGGUUUAAAGGGAUAUCAUUAUGACCUAAGCUCUCUGAAUUCCAGUGACUGGGAAUAUGGGAAGAUACAUCUUUAACAGUUGAAGCAAUUUAUACACUUUAACAAUUGAAGCAAUUUAUACACCAGAGCCUAAGGAAUAUUUAUAGAUGAGGGCUGUGCUGCAAUGACAGAUAGGGUUGUAUGAAACAUACACUAAUCUGACCAUUCUAUCCUCCAGACUCAGGGAAGGAAAUAAUAAAAGUAAGUAACCAUAAAAAAUAGACUUUUAUGCAUAAAUAAAUAAAAAUCAGCUAGGAGACAGUUCAUCCCUGUAUAAGUAAAACAGGCAAAUUUAUCUUUCCUCUGAUUAAUAAUUUAAGAAAAAAUCCCAAGCAAGCUGCCUAUGGAGGUGUAGGAGUAGCUCCUAUAAUUAGACUCCAAUUUGAACCAUGAGGGUGAGGAUCAGAAAGCUGACUCAGAGCCUGGUGUCAAUUAUUUGCAGUUUGUACAACGAAAGGCUAAAAAUUUGGGAGAUGCAGGAUGACUGAAGCCCGAUUCUGGGGGUUGUUACAGCACAGUUACAGGGUAAGUUUUUUCCAUUGUUAUUUGCUGGAAAAUUUAUUCUCCAUCUCCUUUAGUCUGUGCCUGAAUUUUGUGGGACUUGCUCGAGAAUGGUAUUCAUGCUUUAAAUCCAAGAGCCAGGAAUCAUCGCAUUUCAACAAUUUUCCUAUUUAUUUUAACCAAAACAGAGCUGGUUUCUAUAACUCAAUUUAAGAAAUUAUCCUCUUUGAUACAAUCUACUUAUGUUUGAUUGAUUUUAGAAUAAACUAACAGAUACACAAGAGCUUAUCAAGCUAGCUCGGUUCAGUGGAGAACUAUAGCAGAAACAGCAGGUUUCUAUUUGGCACAUUUUGGAUUUAUCUGGACGCAAGAGGAUGUGAAAAGAACACCUUUCAGACAAAAGCCAGUCUUGAGUAGGAAUUUAGUGUUCCUUGCCCAAACAGCUUAGUUUGUUUCCCAUUUUGAGUCACUAUCUGAAUCCUUUUUUAUCUCCUAUAUAGAACAAAUUCUCUCCCUCUAUUUAAUAGGCUUUCAGAUAUGAAACAGAGAGAGAGAGAGAGAGAGGAAGGAAGGAAGGGAGGGAGGGAAAGAGAAAGGGAAAGAAGGAAGGAAAAGCUCUAAUUUCUUCUGUUCUUUUGGUAACACACCUCCCCUUCACAUCCUUCAGCUGCUCCCCUUAGGGCUUUUUGUAGACACUUUUGGUGGUCUCUCCUCUCACACACUGCUCACCACUGUACUUUAUUUUGUAUCAUCUGUCUCCAUCCUUUCCCAACUCCUGAGCACUCAGCCUCCUCUGGAUCUUUUCUGGUUCCUUCGCUCCUAGAACUGUGUCUGAUGGCUUAUGAAGGCAAAUGACAAAUGUUUGCCAUAUGCACAUGUAUGUGCAUGAAUGAAUACAUCCAGGUUCUGACUUCCUCGGGGCAACCUCUACUUUCUCAAUGCCCCUCUUAAGAUGGGGGUGGGGGAGGGUCCUCCUAGAACUGAACAUGAUAUUCCAGGUGUGAUCUAAUACAUUUAAAUGUCCAAAAGCUCUUUCUUCCCUAAACGUUCCUUUUUAAAAGCUACUGUUCUCAAUUAAUGGGUGUCUCAUCUUCUUAAGUAUAUUAAUAAGAGGUAUUUUGAUGUUUCCCUCCAUUCUGUGGAUUACCUCUUGAUUCUCUGGAUUCUUUGUGAUUCCGUUUUGUUUUAAGGAUGUUCUCAGGUGUCUGGUGAUCCUUGCUUAUAAGUCCAAAUUAAUGAUGAGGCACUAAAAUGCUGAUUGGAAGCUCUCUGUGCAGGCAGGUAUUGUUGAAUAGUGGUAAACAGGGGACAUGUUCAUUUUGGAGACACUCAAAUAUCAGGACCUAUAAAUCUCUAUGCCAAGUCAGUUUCCCCAGAGUCUCUUAAUAUCAUUUCUUUCAGGUUAAAAGCCUGGUUACCAGGUUCUGGGAGUGAAGGGAGGAGUGGGGCUUAGACAAGGGUGGGGGCGGGGGUAUGUCUCACAAUUCACUAAAUACCUUCUUUUAUAUAUGUGUUCUCUGUGCAGCAUUUUACCCCCACCAUCGUCCAUGUCUGAUGCCUCAGGUUCAAUCUUGUUCAGUCUUUCCAAAGAGGAAACAUUGGUUGGGUGGGAAUGAUUGGCAGGUCGAAGAGAGAAUUUGAAGCUAUAGCUGCUCCUUUUAAAACUUCUAACUCAUCUUUGUUUUUUCAGGCCUUCCUCACACCCAUGUCUUCAGAUACCCAAGGCCUUUAAUACCCAAGUCCUUCCAGGAUUCUGCACAUCUCAUUAGCUUCAUAUUCCCGUAAGUACUUGGGUUUCUGCUUUCUCAGCUCUGAUGUGUCAUUUUCUAAUCAAUCAUCAGCAUUCCAGCUUCCAAAGUUUUGUUCAUAUAUCUUACAUGUGUUGUCUUGACCGACUUCUUUUUGGACCUUAGAUUAUUUACCUAUUUAAAUUCCUUAAUUGUUACUUUAGUGGAGUUUUGGAAGGGAACAAAAAUAUAGGCAGGUGUUUAUCACAUUUAACAAGGAACUCAAAAUUUAUAUUUAAUUCUAUUUAAUCUGGCUGCCUUCUUGCCAUCAGUCUAUUUGAAAAGUUCAUAUGGACCCAGCUCUGUCAUCAUCACAUGUUCUAUAUCCCCAAACCUUGUGACAUCUGCAAAGAAGUACAGAAGACCUCAAGAGAAGAUAAGCUAGAAUUUAUUUAUUUUUAUACCUUUUAUUCAGUUUUUAUUAAAGCUUUCCUACCUUUCCAGAUUGACACAGAAUUAUUCCAUGAAUCUGUCUAUUAAUCCAUUUACAGCAAGUGCUGGGGAUAGAAAUUAAGGUUUAAACAUAUAAUUCCUGCCAUCAAAGGACUCCCUGUUGAUUAGGGGACACAGGCAAGAAAAUAGACAGUAAGUUUGUUAAGGCAUGAACAAAGAACUGUGUUGGUACACACAGUACAGAGAGGAAGUACAAAGAGGAUGGUGCUUAAGAAGAGUUAACACCUAGACCUAAUCUUAGAGGAUGAGGAAGCAUUGGGUAGACUAGAAGACUAGGUGUAGGGGUAAAGGAAGGCAUAUCAGAGAAAAGGGAGCAGCUACAUAGAGGCAAGGACUAUGCCUCUUCUGCCUCUGAAGAGGAGAAAUUUCUUUCAAUCAAUAGAAAGUGCAGGACAAAGGGUACUAAGUCAUCUUUUGAUGGGAUAACUUGAUGUUAGUGUCCUUCCAUGAGAAAAUGGGAAGCAGCCCCUUAUAAUAAAACCUCUGGCUUUUGAAUUACCAAGUAAAACUGAGGUGUCAGCAACCCUUGGCUGAAUGUGGAACUUGCUAAUAGAACCCCUACAUUCAUGGGAAGGGAUAAAAGAGCUUUAAAAAGUACAAAAGCAUUGUGUGAAUAUAUGGGAUUAAUAUUACUACUACAAUAUUGCCUACCACCACCAUCCCCAGCCCUGAGGAGUCUUCUUAAACUUACAAAAUGAAGCUGCUUCUCUAUGGAUGUAGACAUUUCCUGGUUUCAACAUUGCACCAUAGCUAUGCAUUAUGUCAACAUUGGGAAAAGGCAGGGUGGAAGGUGCACAGGAGCUCUCUGUACAUUUCUUUGAAACUUCCUUUAUACCUUUUAAAAGUUAAAAAGCAGCAGCAGUGGCAGCUUCUCAAGGCCAAAGAUGGGGAGCUCUAUUUCAUUUGCAUUUCUACUCAGGGCUAUAAUGAAUUGAACUCAAUGUGUUGCUAAAGAUUAUUAUGAAAUUAAAAUCCAAUUAGGAUGGUCUCGUGGGUCUGGUAAAAGCUUGGAUUAGAGACCAGGCACAACACGGGGUUGGGGGAGAUGGACUGCUCAAUAGAAGUAGGGCUGAGUGGGGAGUUUAAAGCACUGGCCUCUAAGUAUAGGAACCACUGUACAAAUUUUAAAAUAUACUCAGGAUAGUUAAUAUUUGAUCAAAAUCCACUGUGAAGUGAGGAAUUUUUCCUGCUGGGCAUUCUAUUUUCCAGUUCUAUGAUCAAGCCCAGUGACUGGUAAAUACAAUAUGCCCCACUAGCCCCCAGCUUCUCCCAGCUCCUGUUCCCUCCUGGUGCUCAAAGGGAGAAAGGCUAAGAAAUUCCAAGCCCUGGUCAGGAAAGUGAUCUUGAAAUCACACACAAUGAAUAGUGCCAUCACUAAUGACUCAGCUUGUAAAGAACCAGUGAAGUGAGGAAAUUCUUUCUAUGCACAGAAUGUCUAGAUAUUUAGGCAAAAUUGAAGGGGAUGAGGCAGGAAUAACCAGGACAAACUCAGUAAGAACUUCAACCCUGGUUUUCUCAAGAUUCAGUUUAUGUGCUGAUCAUUUUCUCUCAUAUCUAAUUCCCUUACUUCCCCUGCUCUGUUUUACAUCGAAAGUGCUGACUUCAUGCAAAUUACAUGCAAUUUGCAUGUAAUUUGGAAUUUGCUCCCUGGGAAAAUCACUUCUGACUAGGUUCAGCCAAUGGGAGGCACUAACAGGAGAUUGGAGGGUAGGAGGAAGGGAGGCAUAAGGGAAUUUCUUUCCCCUCUCUGUUUCAGGUGGCAUUUCAAGAAUGUCUGUUUUUCCUCCAUGAUUUCUAUAGAUAUUCCUUAAUUUUCAAGUCUCCAUUAGCAUAGGUAUGAAGGUUUCUCAAUGUGCUCUUGCUUUGGCUUCCUUUAGUCAGAAUAGAAAGAGAAAGUUUUUUAACUUUAUUCAAACAUAUUAGGGGUUUGCUAGAGAAUACAUUAUUUGCCCCUAGUUAUCCUGAUGUUAUAAAAGGAGGCAGACCUGGACAAGUGUAAAUUAGCACAGACAUUCUAACAAUCACCAGAAAAAUGCACCCAUAAGUAGUGCCAAUGCAAGAAGUUUUGACUGUAAUGCCCGUGUGCAGUAGGCUGAAUGAUGGCCCCCAAGUAUAUCUAUAUCCUAAUCCCGAGAACUUGUGAAUGUUACUUGCUAUGCUGAAAGGGACUUUGAAGGUGUGAUUAAGGGUUUUGAGAUGGGGAGAUUUUCCUGGAUUAUAUGAAUGUGUCCUAAAUAUAAUCACACAGGUCCAUGUAAGAGGUAGGCAAGGUCAAAGGAGGAAAUAGAAGGUAAGAUAAUGAAAACAAGAGGUUGGAGGGCUGUGAGGAAGGGGGUCACAAGCCAAGAAGCAUAGGUGGCCUAGAGAAGCUAGAAAACACAAAGAAAUGGAUUUCUUAUAGAGUCUUCACGGGGGACUAGCCUUGCUCACACCUUGACUUUAGCCUAGUGAAACUGAUUUCAGACUUCUGGCCUCCAAAACUGUAAGAGAAUAGAACUGUGCUG
rnacentral:lncRNA from 1 species